rnacentral:rRNA from 1 species
UACAGAGGGGGCAAGCGUUGUUCGGAAUUACUGGGCGUAAAGGGCGCGUAGGCGGCCUGUUAAGUCGAACGUGAAAUCCCCGGGCUCAACCCGGGAACUGCGUCCGAUACUGGCAGGCUUGAAUCCGGGAGAGGGAUGCGGAAUUCCAGGUGUAGCGGUGAAAUGCGUAGAUAUCAGGAAGAACACCAAUGGCGAAAGCAGCUCUCUGGGGACGGUACUGACGCUGAGACGCGAAAGCGUGGGGAGCGAACAGG